ensembl:lncRNA
UGUAACUCAUGCAUUUCCUCCCUCACUGUGAGCCAGAUUGAUGAGGGGGUGGGGAUGGAGGGGAUGGAAAGUCCACCAGGGACAGCCUCUGUGCCGGGAAUUGGCUGCCAGUGUCCCAGGAGAAGAGGUCAGGACUGGCUCCCCACAGAAGCCCUGCUAAGUGGGGGCCCCAAAGGAAUUGAGUGGGAGCCCAACGGAUACUUAUGUGUGGCGGGCAGUUGGGUGAAUGCCAGGAACUAAUAGAGGUGCUAGUUUUCUGGGAGCAUGCAGAGAGGAUGGGAAACGCGGGUGGCAGGCGUCUGGAAGGGUGGGUCCUUCAGGUCAUCAGUCGGCUUUGAACUUUUAUCUCAGGCCACCGGGAAGAUGAUGACAAGGAACCUGACUUGCAAGGGGUCCAGAAGCUGAGCAGAUGACCAUGCCUCCCUGCUCACAUCCGUGAUCCCCCGUAGCUACCUGGGGGUCCCCUCCUGUUGCUCCACUCUGCAACCCACGGGGGGAGCCAUGCCCUUCUGACCUACUGUGAGAGUAUCGUAGAAUCAUCCGGAUGUUUAAACGACCACCCUGGACAGUUUUAAGAGUGACCUUCGUUACCCAAAUGACACUUGGCAACUGGGCCUGCUGUCAGAUUAUCGAGUCGUAGCAUCUCGUGUUCCAGAAAGGAGAAGGUGCGGAUCAAGAUGCAGAGGCUGCUUGGAUAAAACGACGUGGGAGGGGCCCGGUGAGACAGAUCCAAGUGCCCCGCCCUGGUCAGUGGAGUCCCUGGCCGUUUCUGAGCAUGGCUG